GAUGAAGAACGUAGCGAAAUGCGAUACUUGGUGUGAAUUGCAGAAUCCCGUGAACCAUCGAGUCUUUGAACGCAAGUUGCGCCCGAAGCCAUUAGGCCGAGGGCACGCCUGCCUGGGCGUCACACGUCGUUGCCCCCCCAUCUACUCCUUCGGGAUUGCGGGGGGCGGAUGAUGGCCUCCCGUGCGCCUCGUCGCGCGGUUGGCAUAAAUGCCAAGUCCUCGGCGACGCACGCCACGACAAUCGGUGGUUGCGAAACCUCGGUUGCCCGUCGUGUGCGGUCGUCGCGCAUCGAGGGCUCGAAAAAAUUGCCGGGCUCCGGCUCGGCUUUCAACGCGACCCCAGGUCAGGCGGGGUUACCCGCUGAAUUUAAGUACAUCAAUAAGGGAGGA
rnacentral:misc_RNA from 1 species